UACGGGGGGGGCAAGCGUUGUCCGGAAUCACUGGGCGUAAAGGGCGCGUAGGCGGCUGUGUAAGUCACUUGUGAAAUCCCGGGGCUCAACUCCGGGGCUGCAGGUGAGACUGCAUGGCUAGAGCACGGUAGAGGCAAGUGGAAUUCCCGGUGUAGCGGUGGAAUGCGUAGAUAUCGGGAAGAACACCGGUGGCGAAGGCGGCUUGCUGGGCCGUUGCUGACGCUGAUGCGCGAAAGCGUGGGGAGCAAACAGG
rnacentral:rRNA from 1 species